rnacentral:snRNA from 1 species
UUUUCUAUAAUAUCUUUU